AACAAACUAUUAGGCAAAUGUUAGAUAUAAAACGUUUUGAUAUACUGACUAUUGCGCGUUACUUUUAGUUUGAUUAUUUUUGCCCUGACUUAAGACGUUUAUAUAGCAAAUGAAAGACUCGGGGUAAUGAUUAUGCAUUAACCUAUUUUGUUAACUAUUUUGACAUAAAUUUUCUCUAAGUUGUAUUGUCCACUAUAUGAAUAUAUAAUUUAAUAUUUCUUUUAAAAUGCAUGCUCACCUAAAAUACUGUUUUUAAAGGACUAUGAAAAAACAAAUGAAUCUAACAGCCAGAAAUAAAUGUAACAAAUUGAAUUGUUAUAAUUUAAUACACAUGGUUGAGAUACAUUUGUCCCUCACAGACCAUAUUGCCCCUCAUAUGAGCUUACGUCUUACUUUUAAUUGGCACUUAAAGCAUAUUGGAAAAUAUUUAUGCCUUGGUUUGAGAUGUGGUUAUAGGCCAAGGAAAUCAAAGGAAAUUAGCCUUCACAGGUAGCUUAUUAUGUCAUCCACAUGUUUAUCAUUUUGUCGAAUAACAAUUUUCUUUUCGUUGGCGCUUUAAUGUCUGAUAUAAAUUUUCUUUUGGUUGAUGUGUUACUAUUUAUUUAUUUUUUUCAUUUAAGGUAUAGACAUCAAAAAGGAAAGAGAAAAAAAAAAACCAAAACAAAAACUCUCAAAAAGGAGCCUCAGCCCCUCAGGGUUCGCUUUUAGAGCAAGUUCACCCGUUGGGUCAAAAUGUCUGGGUCACUGGGUCACUAGGUUAAGACACUAUUCAUUGCCACUGGACAUGUGUUUCCACCCAUUUUAUUUCUUAGCCGGUCAAUUACUGUUUAUUAAGUAUUAUUUUUUAUUUAUUAUCAAUGUAAAUUAUAUUUGUAGUAAAUAGAUGGUUAAGAUGGACAUCAUGAUUAUCUUAUAAAUAAGAUCCUUAAUUACUUUAGGCGAACAAAUCAAGAUAUAGAAAAAUAUAUAUAACCAAAAUGGAUAUAAAGGACAUUUAUACUGCAAUUUAAAAAUUUAGACACAUACGUAGAGUAGAGGUAAAUUAUAUAUAUAUAUAUAUUACGUUGAUUAUAUAUACAUAGGCUUAAUUGUAUUGAUUAAUUCAAAUUAAGGUUACUGUUAGUUUAAAAUUUCCAGAACCAAGGGCUAGCUUGCACGUGUCUGUCCACCCACCAAAGUUGCUGAUGUCAGCCAUUUGCUAGAGCUGGGCCGAGGUGGCAACCGGUUUGCCUGGGUCACACUUUAGGUCAGGAUUCUAGCCUUUCUCUUGACAUGGGUAAGCAAAUGUCAAAACUUGUCAAGCAACAACCGGUGGAAGCUAUCUUUUGAGAAAUUGAGGUCACCACCUCAGCCAACCUACGUGGAGGCCGGUUAAGAGAGCACCGGUGAACUUGCUCUUAGUGGUCAGUUUUGAGGCUCCUUUUUGUGGUCAGUUUUGCUUCGGUCCUCUUCUGAUAUUCAGCACUACCACACUUUGUAGUGUGCAUUGAGUUACGGUUCAUAGUAGAACUUGUAUAGAAAAAUUCAGAGAAUUUAACUAUUAAAAGUUGAUAUAUAUAUAGAGAGAUUUUCUCAGCUGCGGACGUCCGCACCGAUUUUUCGGUGCGGAUUUCCAUUUUUGCACCACUUCCCGAUCAAAUUUCCUCAAACUUCCUUCUAUACAUAUCUAGAUCAUCUUGUGUAGAUCAUCUCUGCAAAAUUUCAGCCAGUUUGGUGAUCGUUAAGGCCCUCAAAAUCGAAAAACAAAUCUGACGGACUGAAUUCUGUCCGGUUCAGGUAUAUAACAGAAAAACGCAAGUUUGAGGGCCUUAACGAUCACCAAAUUGGCUGAAAUUUNNN
rnacentral:lncRNA from 1 species